rnacentral:rRNA from 1 species
GUACGCUGGCGGCACGCCUAACACAUGCAAGUCGAACGAAGUAGCAAUACUUAGUGGCAGACGGGUGAGUAACAUGUAGGUAUCUACCCUUUGGCCUGGAAUAACACGAGGAAACUUGUGCUAAUACCGGAUAAGUCUUUACGGAGAAAGCUUUAUGCACCAUUGGAUGAGCCUGCACUUGAUUAGUUAGUUGGUAGGGUAAUAGCCUACCAAGACUUUGAUCAAUAGCUGAUUUGAGAGGAUGAUCAGCCACAUUGGGACUGAGACACGGCCCAAACUCCUACGGGAGGCAGCAGUGGGGAAUCUUGCACAAUGGAGGAAACUCUGAUGCAGCGAUGCCGCGUGAGUGAAGAAGGCCUUUGGGUUGUAAAGCUCUUUCGUCGGGGAAGAAAAUGACUGUACCCGAAUAAGAAGGUCCGG